ACCACACCACGUCAAAUGCCAAAUUCAGCACCAUUCGCCCAUAUGAUCAAGGAAAUUUACCUCAACCUAAGGAGUAAGGCUGAUGGUUGCUGUGAUUUCCAUUUUUGCGGUUUUUUAUCACGAAAACUUCAGUGAGCUUCUUAGUGUAGAGCACGUUAUAAAUCCUAAAGCCAAUGCUGACCUUCA